rnacentral:rRNA from 1 species
ACACAUGCAAGUCGCACGAGAAAGGGCUUCGGCCUGAGUAAAGUGGCGCACGGGUGAGUAACACGUGAAUCAUCUACCUCCGAGUGGGGAAUAACCUAGAGAAAUCUGUGCUAAUACCGCAUAACACUCACGAGUCAAAGCAGCAAUGCGCUUGGAGAGGAGUUCGCGGCAGAUUAGUUAGUUGGCGGGGUAAUGGCCCACCAAGACGAUGAUCUGUAUCCGGCCUGAGAGGGCGCACGGACACACUGGAACUGAAACACGGUCCAGACUCCUACGGGAGGCAGCAGUGGGGAAUUUUGCGCAAUGGGGGAAACCCUGACGCAGCAACGCCGCGUGGAGGAUGAAAUAUCUUGGUAUGUAAACUCCUUUCGAUGGGGAAGAUAAUGACGGUACCCAUAGAAGAAGCCCCGGCUAACUUCGUGCCAGCAGCCGCGGUAAUACGAGGGGGGCAAGCGUUGUUCGGAAUUAUUGGGCGUAAAGGGUGCGUAGGCGGUUUGACAAGUCUUAUGUGAAAUCUUCGGGCUCAACCCGAAGUCUGCAUGGGAAACUGUCGGGCUUGAGUAUUGGAAAGGUGAGUGGAAUUUCCGGUGUAGCGGUGAAAUGCGUAGAUAUCGGAAGGAACACCUGUGGCGAAAGCGGCUCACUGGACAAUAACUGACGCUGAUGCACGAAAGCUAGGGGAGCAAACAGGAUUAGAUACCCUGGUAGUCCUAGCCCUAAACGAUGAUUGUUUGAUGUGGGGGGUACCCAAUCCUCCCGUGUCGAAGCUAACGCGAUAAACAAUCCGCCUGGG